UGAGGAAUAUUGGUCAAUGGGCGAGAGCCUGAACCAGCCAAGUCGCGUGAAGGACUACGGCCCUAUGGGUCUUAAACCUCUUUUGUCGGGGAGUAACGUGCGGGACGGGUCCCGUAUUGAGAGUACCCGAAGAAAAAGCAUCGGCUAACUCCGUGCCAGCAGCCGCGGUAAUACGGAGGAUGCGAGCGUUAUCCGGAUUUAUUGGGUUUAAAGGGUGCGCAGGCGGCGCGCCAAGUCAGCGGUCAAAGUUCCGGGCUCAAACCCGGUGUCGCCGUUGAAACUGGCGUGCUCGAGUGCGUGCGAGGAAGGCGGAAUGCGUUGUGUAGCGGUGAAAUGCAUAGAUAUGACGCAGAACUCCGAUUGCGAAGGCAGCUUUCCAGCGCGCUACUGACGC
rnacentral:rRNA from 1 species